UGGUGGUGGUGGUGGUGGUGGUGGCAGUCAAAGUUGAGAACAUGGCCAAUUUGGACAGUGGUCCAUCUGAUUCAUCUCUAUCCUGUGAUGAAGAUGAUGGCGCAUGAUGAUGUAUGUGCAGGAGAAGCUGCAGGAAGCAUGUGAUAUGAACUAACAGAAGAAGACAAUCUAUCCAUCCACCCUCAUGAAGCAGAAACGGAAAGAAGCAAUGAACAAAUCCAAGACAAGUCGAUGCUGAUGAUCAAACGAUCUCAAUGUGUAUAUGGAAGAUGCCACUGGCUUUGGUCAAUCAAAAUUCAAAAGUCCAGUGGAGCAUUCAGAGCCCUCGAUGGACAACUACUGCAAUAAUGCAUAGGAGAUCACAAAAACAAGUUGAAACACUUGUCACCUCCAAGAAAUCUCGGACAAGUGGAUGCUGGUGACCAAUCCAGUUUGUGCAUCUCGGUGGCCAAAGCAUAUUUGCUGAUGACAGUUCAUGAUCUUAAUCCGGGCAUUGAGGAUGAAGAUUCAACUGGCUUUGGUCAAGGAAAUCGACCCUGAAACCUUGAGCCAGCAGUGUCUUGUCUUGGCUGGAUGUUGGAGGUGGACUAAUCUACUUCAAGGCAUGCAAUUGUCAGCUAGUGCGGCAUGAUCCAAUGGAGCAUUUAAAACCAUUGAUGGACAUCAACUGCAAUGCGCAGAGGUCUUCGGAUUCUGGUGCUGAAGCAGUAGAACCCAAUGCUUCACGCUUUUCCUCAAUCAAUCAAUCUUACUUUGCAUGAAGAGAAACAACAAGUACCUGAAGUUGCUCAGAAAGUUGAACCAGGACUAAGCGUGCAGGAGUUUUGUCACUCAUGAUUUAAACCUGUCUCGAUCAAUCUAAUAGAAAUUUCUUCAGCGAUGACAAUGGAUUGAGAUUUUAGAUGAGGAAGCAAAUUGAAG